rnacentral:tRNA from 1 species
GCGCCCGUUAGCUCAGUUGGUAGAGCAGCUGACUCUUAAUCAGCGGGUCCGGGGUUCGAGCCCCUGACGGCGCAC